GCCACUGAAGGGGGAAUAUUUCUUAGGCCUAGGUUUCUUCUUGAGGAGUGCUGUGUGACUAGACAGUACUUUUACCAGUGGGGACUCCCCUGUGAAUAGAAGGAAUAGUAUUAUCAGUACGACAAACCUGGGAAAUGAAUGUGAAGCCUGAACUGACAGAGCAACUUAGCCAAGCUCCAGGCAGGAUAUCUGUAGUACAGUUGGAAAUUGAACCCGGACUCUCAUCCAAGUGCAAGAGUGAUUUUUCCGCAGAGCAAUCACUUUGGCUGUCUCAAAAUCAGAAUAGCUGCUCAAUUGCAUUCCAGAGCUGAGCAGUGCUUAGCAUGCUGAAGGAGGGCGACAGCCCAGGCCUCACUGCAUCUGCAGCCCUGGACUGGGAACAUGUAUGCUGAGUGAUUGGAGGGGGUUGAGCUGGCUCCUAAAGGAGCAAAUCCUACAGAGAUUCUGAGGAAUGUGUGAGGUAUUACCUGGCAGAGCUGUUGCUACAACAGAGUGAUAUUUUAAACAGCUUCUACAAGCUAGAGCCUUCAGUUAUCUUCAGAUUGUCAGCUGCAGGGGGGGAAGAGUGAAUGAAACCUUGUUUAUGCCACUGAUGGCCAAGAAGAUCCAGUAUAAGGCUCUUCAAAAUGCAGCAGUAUUCCUAUUUGUCCAGCUGAGAGUGCUAGUCUCCAUGAAUUAGUCCAGCAAUUGAUGACACUUGAUGAUAUCUCAGCAUCCAGAAAUCCUGAAAGCGUGCUAACUAUGCAAAAUGCUGCUGUGAGAACUGACUGUGAGGUGGCUGUUCUAUUCCCUCUUAAAAGGAUGCUGCUGCUUGAUGUUCCCAGUAUGUAUGUCUUCUUGUCACUGCGGAAUCCAAAGGGAAGUUAAGUGUGGAUUUUGAUGGCUGACAAGAGAGUUUCUUCUUUUUUGACCCCUCAUCUGACUAGAUAAUGAAUAUUCUUGCGGCUAUUACUGUAAGGCCAAGAAAGGGGAAAGAAAUUAUGGAAGGAUGCAUUCAGAGAAUGAAUGAUAAGAAUGGAAAAAGAAACUUAAAGGGCCAGAUUCUGAGGCAGAAUGACUAGCAGUCAACAGGGCAAGUGGCAAGGACUCAGAAAUGCUGUGGAUGUGCAGAGCUUAUAACGAACAGGCUUUCAGUGCCACCUGCAGAACUCUAAGUCAGCAGCUGGAAAGCAUGAGGGGAAGGAAGCUUAUCAGGAAUUAAGUGUAAGAACUCAUCCUUCUCUCAAAAGGCCUAUGGGUUCCUUUCAGGGAUUCCCAAAAGAUCUAGCAGUGUCCUGUGUUUUAUCUACACCAGUGUUCUGAAUAUAGCCUUCAGUCAUACCAGUCUUCUUUGCCAGCAGUGAAUGAGCUUCACGCCCUGUAAAUCCUUUGAGUACCUCCUGUUUAAGUCUAUGUA